rnacentral:ncRNA from 2 species
CUGACUGAGUGAGGCGACGACACCUGUUCUGUAAUCCGGGCACCUCGAACAGGUCGAGCCAGUGGUGCGACCGUCUAUCAGUCCC